CCUGGGAUAGCUCAGUCGGUAAAGCAUGAGACUCUUAAUCUCUGGGUCAUGGGUGAAAGAUUCCUGUACUAAGGU